ACGGUAGGAUCAACACUUUGCUUCUUUUUUAUUUUUAUUUUUAUUUUUCCGUUUUCUUUUCAAAAGCCCUAAGAAAUCAGUUUCUUCUCAUACCCUGAUUCUGCAUCCUCCUCUUCUUUCGCUUCCAUGAGAGGUCAUUCCCCUUCCAAAAACCCACUUCUCAUCUCCCUUCUGCCCUUCCGUUGGCGAAACGAGACAGGUUCGGGAUCGGUUCUUUUCUCUUCCAGAUGAGCUUGAGAUUUUGCCGAAGAAUUAUGGUUGGACGAACGGUGCAGGCGAAUAAUUUGGAUGGAAUUUUGCAACAUUUUAGUGCAGAAGAUGGAUGGCAAAGCGCUUGUGGCGUGGACAGGUGGAAGUGAGGAAUGAGUUUUUGAACAAGAAGAUAGAGGUUCAAGGAAACUAUUAUAUGAGCAUCAACCCACUAGGGGCUGGUGCAUGCUGGUGCCAAAAAACCGCCCAGGAAAAUUUACUCACCACUUCUCUUAGCUUUCACACAUGAGAAUUCAGAGUCCUGGACAACAUCUCAUUUGAUGAAAUCAAGUUCCAUGGAACCAAAUUACAGUUUACCCCUUAAUGUUGCUGUGAUUACUCGUCAGGUGAUUGUCUGAAAUGACAGUAGAAUCUACUCUCUCUCUCUAUAGCUUUUGUU